GUGUGUGUGUGUGUGUGUGUGUGUGUGUGUUGUGUUUUCUUGUGUUUGUAUAGGUGUGUGUAUGUGUGUGCAUAUGUGUUCAUGUGUGUCAAGGCCAGAGAGAUAACAUUAAGUAACUUCCCCUAUUGCUCUCUAUUUUAUUUAUUUUUUAAAGGUUUGUUCAUUUUUAUUCUAUGUGUAUGAGUGUUUUGCCUGCAUCUAUGUCUUUGCAUCACAUGUAUACUGAAGCCCAUGGAGGCCAGAGGAGGGCAUCAGAUCCCCUGGAACUGGAGUCACAGACAGUUGUGAGCUGCCAUGGGGGUGCUGGAUUCUUAAACUGGGUCCCCUGCAAGAGCUAAUCUCCAUGAAGUCCACCAUCCCAGCCGGGCCCAUCACGGUCUUCAUGCCUCUUAGAUAGAAGCCAUUUUGCACCCCACCCCAAUAAAUCUCUGGUAUAAGGUCCA